CGCACGACCGGUGCCCGCGCAGUUGGACCGCGCCUUCUCAGAGUCUGAGGGUUCCCCCUGCGGCUGCGUCACUGCGCCUGGGCCCCGAAGGUCCCACGCCAGGUCACUGGGCGUUUAACUGGGUAUUAGUUGAAAGCGAUGACGACGUGGGGGGUCAGUUCUGCCCCCUGUCCGUGAGCCCCAUGGAGUCCCCCAGGAUCGGGAGGGGACCCUCGGCUUUGUCACCUCCUCCUCAGGUCCCAGGCUCCUGCCCGACCCCGAGGUGAUGCCCUCUCUCUCUCCGUCCCUUUCUCGCUUGGCUUCCUGCGGCCUCGCCAGCCCUCUGGGGCCGCGCCCUCUAGCCGGACUUCCGCCCCUCCGCGGCCUCUGGCCUCGGUCACUGAGACUGAGCGCAGGUGGAGACCGGGCCACCUGAGGGCAGGGGAACGCGUUCCUGCGAAGGGAAUGACACCUGUAAAUAGGCCUGAGGCGAGAGUGAGAUGGGGUUUUAGGUGGUGACUGUGUAGCCCCAAACGCUACUCUGGGAAUGGGAAGCAUCAGAAAUCAAGCGAAUGAAGGAAAGCAAACCCAAUGGGUUUUCCUGGAUCUCAGGGAAGACAGGGAAAGACCACCAGGGACUGCCUAAACCAGGGAAGUGACCAAGAAGUUCAACUACCAGGUGAUGAAAUGACUAGAAGCAAGGCAGCCUUCCCCAUUCCCAUUUGCUGGAUGAGGAAGGUCAGGCUGAGUUCUUUGUGGAGUCCAAGUUGAAGUCUCUUUUGAAAUAGUCCUCUGGCUGAAGAACUGGCUGCUUCAAGCAAGGCACAAAGGCAGGGUGCAGCAUGAGGUAGGGGCUCUCAGCUGCAGCUGAGACCGCACGUCCUGUGCAUUGUGGGAUGUUGAGCAUCAUCCCUGGGCUCUGCCCACCACCACAUGGCAGUGGCACCAGCACUCCAAGUCAUAAUAAAAAAUGUCUCCAGACAUUGCCAAGUGUCCCCUGGGGGACAGAACUGUCCAUGGUUGAGAACCACUGGUAUAGGGGAAGGGGCCCUCAGAUGGGGCAUGUCUCCCUGCUCCAAGAAGUCAGGACAUGUGACAAAACUGUGAUUAAUAAUAUUAAUAUUGUUAGUAAUGGGAUUAUAAUGUUAGCAAAUAAUAUUGAGUGCUGAACUGUGUGCCAAGGGUCUGAGCUCCCAACAUUCAUGAUUUCAUUUAAUCUUGUAACAAAAUCUGAGGUGGGAAAAGUUAUUGUUUUCAUUUUACAGAUGAGGAUACUGAGGCUCAGAAGGACCAGGUUAUCAAAUCCAAUGCCACAGUUAGGAAGUGGUGGGAUCUGCAUUCAAAUCGAGGCAGGUCUUUACUUAAUGUUUUUCUCUGAAUGGAUUCAUUUUUUAAAGUAGAGGCAUUUACUUACAAAGUAAGAUUUACACUAUCAAGGAAAAGGAACCAAGAUUAUUUUCCAUAAAUAGAAAGAAACUAUUUAUAAACUAUUUAUGUAAAUAUAAGUAUAAUGAAACCAAAACAAUGUUCUUAGAUUCUAGCUGCACACUUUGCCUGCCAAAUGCUCUGAGCCUGAGGGCUGCUCCCUCAUUUAAAAUUCUUAGCCUGUGUAAAAGGAGUUAAAGACACACGAGCCCCAAACUGAGCCUUUUUCCUUGAAAUUAAUGAAACAGGGUCCACCUUGUACUGCAUCAGCAGGAGGCUUAGCUCCGUCUCUUUAGUGCGCAACUACAGGCAAAGUCAGUCCACCUCUCUGGGACUCAGUUUUUGUCAUCUGUAAAAUGGAAGUCCUGUUCAUUCCAUAGAGCUUUUGUGAGAAUCAAAUGACGGAGAAGAGAACUAGCAAAUUAUUAAGGGUAAUGUGGAGGCAGGUCACGGGAAUUCUUGGCCGAGUGGGGAAAAAAAAUAUUGAACAAAAGAGAGGAGUCUUUUUCCAGAAAUAAAAGACAUGUUAACAGUUACUGCUGAGGGUAGAAGCUGAAUUUUUACAUAAAACCAUGACAUAAACCAAUAUCUGUUUACUACAAUAUCUGUUUAAUCCCCUCUUUCUUACCAUUAGAGCCCCAAUUUUUAAAAUUUAAUUGUUGUUCAAGUACAGUUUUCUGUUUUUUAAUCCCAUCCCAGCCCACCCCCCAGAGCCCCAGUUUUUAGCUGAGAACUUGCCUAUUGAAAAUAAAGACCAUACCCUGGCUGGGUGGCUCAGUUGGUUGGAGCACUGUCCCAUAUAGCAAAAGGCUGGGGGUCUGAUUCCCAGUCAGGGACACACCUAGGCCGCAGGUUUGGUCCCCAGUCUGGAUUCAUGUAGGAGGCAACCAAUCCAUGUUUCUCACAUUUAUGUAUCUCUCUCUUCCUCUCUCU